rnacentral:rRNA from 1 species
GACGAACGCUGGCGGCGUGCUUAACACAUGCAAGUCGAACGGUGAACGAGGGAGCUUGCUCCCUCCGGAUCAGUGGCGAACGGGUGAGUAACACGUGAGCAAUCUGCCCCGAACUCUGGGAUAAGCGUUGGAAACGACGUCUAAUACCGGAUACGACGCGGGAGGGCAUCCUCUCCGCGUGGAAAGAACUUCGGUUCGGGAUGAGCUCGCGGCCUAUCAGCUUGUUGGUGAGGUAACGGCUCACCAAGGCAACGACGGGUAGCCGGCCUGAGAGGGUGACCGGCCACACUGGGACUGAGACACGGCCCAGACUCCUACGGGAGGCAGCAGUGGGGAAUAUUGCACAAUGGGCGCAAGCCUGAUACAGCAACGCCGCGUGAGGGACGACGGCCUUCGGGUUGUAAACCUCUUUUAGCAGGGAAGAAGCGAAAGUGACGGUACCUGCAGAAAAAGCACCGGCUAACUACGUG